CGGGCCACAGAACGCACAUACCCAUAAGACACAACAUAAUAUCACCAUAAAUGUGAAUUUCAGAAACCAUGAAAAGAUGACGAGCUGUGAUGAUAGACUGAUUUAUGGUUCCUGUUAUGUUUCUAUAUGGGAUUAAAACAAAAGUCAAUUCAAAAUAUGGAGUAUCUCAGGAUUUUUCUCUGGCCGGUUUGCUAUAUUAGUAUUUGUAAUCCCACUACAACAUAAUACACAUACGGCGUGUUACUUGCACAGUAGAUAUCGAAACUAUGAAAAAAAUAUUUACAGGGAAGUUGUUUGAUACGAAGGGGCACAUUAUAUGGUGUAAAUGAAUUUUAUCAUGAUAGCAGGCAUUGAAACCAGUUCUACGGUAUGCCGUAUCACAUUGUAUCAUGUCGUAAUAUCACGAAUAAAUGGUAUCAAAAUCUCGUCAACACGUAAUGCACAGAUCUUUGUCAUUCGUCACCAUUGAAAGUCACUGAACCAUCGAUGACCAUUUAUAAAUAAAGAUCGACUUUCUUCAAGGUGUGAUAUUUUUUCUAUAAGGAUAUUUGAAAGAAGCUCUGUUUUCCAGAAAUGUUCACAAUUAUUGAUGAGCUAUCAAAAUAAAUUGUAGAUUAUUGUCGGAUAAAAUAUUCAACAAUUAUAGAAAGACAAUUAUUAAAACGACUACAGCAAUGUAUUUUUAACGAUGAUGGGCAUAUUGAAGGAUAGACACUAGCGUUUUUUAUACAAACAUAUUUGUCUGGUAGAUAAUUAAUCAGUCUAGCACGAAAAGAUGCGUAAUAAAAUUACAACACGUUCCGUUGACCAACACUGUCCGAUCAGUAUCGAUAAAAAUUAUUACACAUUUCGUUUAUUUACGGCAUUACUAGAUGAAAUAACAUGACGUAGCAUAUUAUUGAACUUGUCUUAGCAUCUGCUAUUGCGUUGUAAAUUGCGUUUUUUUACAUAAAAAAAAAGUUUAACUUAUUCUUGGAUUACCCCCACUACCACAAUCACAUACAAAUUAUUUAUAUUGUGUAAUGUACUCCUUCAUACCAAAUAACCUUUACCUCUAAACAUGUUUUUCAUAGCUUCAAUACCUGGCGAGAUAAUUAAUCAUUUGCACUUAAAUGUAACAACCUAUAUGACAAUUUCAAAAAAUACAAAAAUUAGUUUAGAAACCUUUCAUUGGGAAAUCUAUUCCUGAGACAAAUGGUUAGUCAUUAAUGUUGACAUAUUGCGUACGAGUCUGGAGAUAUUUCAUAUGUACAUAGCUAACCAAACGUGGAUGCCAGGUCAUGAGAUAUACAAUUUUAAUGCUCGUUGUGCGUGAGUAUCGACGAUCGACGAAUUAAAGAUAGCUUGAUCUGUUUGUUAUGUUACUAGGUGUACGAGUAUAAUAAAGCCUUGUGGCAACUUAUGAGAAGGACGUGUGUGAAUGGUUAAUUAAAUCAUUUAUUAUUAAUUCACUGUUAGGGUAACGGCGCCUAAUAUGGAGCGCCACAAUAUUUCGAAAAAUAAAUAGCUGGACGUGUCAUUUACCA